ACAGUGCCUGGGAUUCUGAACAAUUAUUAUUUGCUACUGGUACAUUGCAUAGAGUCUUACAUACAAAUCAGUACUGAUCACCGAGUAUUCAUCAUUCAUUGUAAUACGAAAUACCUUUAGUAGUGAUUUGUAAUUCUGUAGCAUCGUUGCUCAUUUAUGAGAGUGUUUCAGAGCUGGAUAUGCAUUGGGGAGCAGCCUCCGUAUAUUUGCAAAUAGAGCUGUUUAGAACUUACGCUAAAAUAUGAGAAAGUCAAACACCCGGUGCAAGAAAAGCAAUAAAAUUCAUGGAUUAAAUCUUAAAGUGUACUUGUCUAAUACUAUUCACUAGGUGGAAUUUUAAUGACGCACUUUCUUAAGCAGAAGGUUGUAAGAAAAAACAGUUUUGCUACUCUAUACAAGACGCAAAGUGAAUGCAGCCGUUAACCACGCAUUCAAGAAUAAUAGAGAUUGAUGAAGGAUGAGACGAAGUAAUA